GACGAACGCUGGCGGCGUGCUUAACACAUGCGAGUCGAACGGAAAGGCCCUGCUUUUGUGGGGUGCUCGAGUGGCGAACGGGUGAGUAACACGUGAGUAACCUGCCCUUGACUUUGGGAUAACUUCAGGAAACUGGGGCUAAUACCGGAUAGGAGCUCCUGCUGCAUGGUGGGGGUUGGAAAGUUUCGGCGGUUGGGGAUGGACUCGCGGCUUAUCAGCUUGUUGGUGGGGUAGUGGCUUACCAAGGCUUUGACGGGUAGCCGGCCUGAGAGGGUGACCGGCCACGUUGGGACUGAGGUACGGCACAGACUCCUACGGGAGGCAGCAGUGGGGAAUAUUGCACAAUGGGCGGAAGCCUGAUGCAGCAACGCCGCGUGCGGGAUGACGGCCUUCGGGUUGUAAACCGCUUUCGCCUGUGACGAAGCGUGAGUGACGGUAAUGUGUAAAGAAGCACCGGCUAACUACGUG
rnacentral:rRNA from 1 species